rnacentral:lncRNA from 1 species
CUGCCCAAGAUUACUCUAAGCCUAUCAAUGAUCUAUUCUCAAACACAUAUAAUCCAGGUUGGAAGAACUAUCCUAAUUUUUUUUGGAGAUCCUAAUAGACUCAGGCCCAAACCUAAAUUUUUUCUGUGCAAAAUUUUUACAAUAGGCCUCAAUAUCAAAAUUAUACCUAUAAUAGAGAUCAGCCUAGUCAGCCUACCCAGCC